rnacentral:rRNA from 1 species
GGCGCGGCCUUCGGGACAGGGGAGACAGGUGGUGCAUGGUUGUCGUCAGCUCGUGUCGUGAGAUGUUGGGUUAAGUCCCGCAACGAGCGCAACCCUUGACUUUAGUUGCCAGCAGGUAAGGCUGGGCACUCUAGAGUGACUGCCGGUGACAAACCGGAGGAAGGUGGGGAUGACGUCAAAUCAUCAUGCCCCUUAUGACCUGGGCUACACACGUACUACAAUGGCCGGUACAACGGGAAGCGAAACCGCGAGGUGGAGCCAAUCUUAUAAAGCCGGUCUCAGUUCGGAUUGCAGGCUGCAACUCGCCUGCAUGAAGUCGGAAUUGCUAGUAAUCGCGGAUCAGCAUGCCGCGGUGAAUACGUUCCCGGGUCUUGUACACACCGCCCGUCACACCACGAGAGUUUACAACACCCGAAGUCGGUG